UACGGAGGGGGCUAGCGUUGUUCGGAAUGACUGGGCGUAAAGCGUGCGUAGGCGGUUUAGUGUGUGGGAAUUGAAAGCCCGGGGCUCAACUCCGGAUCCGGUUCCCAAACUGCUAGACUCGAGAGUAUCAGAGGAGAGCGGAAUUCCCGGUGUAGCGGUAAUAUGCGUAGAUAUCGGGAGGAACACCAGUGGCGAAGGCGGCUCUCUGGGGUAUUUCUGACGCUGAGGCACGAAAGCCAGGGGAGCGAACGGG
rnacentral:rRNA from 1 species